UACGUAGGGUGCAAGCGUUGUCCGGAAUUAUUGGGCGUAAAGGGCUCGUAGGCGGUCCAUCACGUCGGGAGUGAAAAGCUGGGGCUUAACCCCAGUCCUGCUUCCGAUACGGGUGGACUAGAGGUAGGCAGGGGAGAACGGAAUUCCUGGUGUAGCGGUGGAAAUGCGCAGAUAUCAGGAGGAACACCGGUGGCGAAGGCGGUUCUCUGGGCCUGUACUGACGCUGAGGAGCGAAAGCGUGGGGAGCGAACAGG
rnacentral:rRNA from 1 species